rnacentral:lncRNA from 1 species
AAGUCCCCUUUUUAUUGGGCACGGGUAUUUAGAAGAGUUAAAGUGGAUGUAAAAGUAGAUGACCCCGCAUGUUUAGUGUAUUAUUUAAUGUUAUUUAUACAUUGAUUAACUUGCUUAACUAAAUGCAUUUAAAAAUAAAAUUAAAAACACUCUCUCAUUUCCUUCGCCGGCUGCCACCGCGCUUAACGCCGGAACAGUGAAACACUGGCGAGCCCACCGCAUAAACAAAGAAACAAAGAGACCAAGAAAUUAAAAAAAUAAAAAAAUCAAAAAAUAGAAGUCUUUCAAUUGUUGAGAGAAACAGAGGAGAGACCAAAUUUUCGACGAGCCCUAAUUUUUGAAAAAAAAAACAGAG